rnacentral:rRNA from 1 species
AACCUGGUUGAUCCUGCCAGUAGUCAUAUGCUUGUCUCAAAGACUAAGCCAUGCAUGUCUAAGUAUAAGUAUUAUACAGCGAAACUGCGAAUGGCUCAUUAAAACAGUUAUAAUUUAUUUGAUAAUCGAAUUUACAUGGAUAACCGUGGUAAUUCUAGAGCUAAUACAUGCUGGUAGGCCCGACUUUUUGGAAGGGCGGUAUUUAUUAGAUAACAAACCAAUAUUCCUCUGGUCUAUUGUGGUGAAUCAUAAUAACUGAUCGAAUCGCAAGGUUUU